rnacentral:rRNA from 1 species
CCUACGGGGGGCUGCAGUGAGGAAUUUUGCGCAAUGGGGGAAACCCUGACGCAGCAACGCCGCGUGAGUGAUGAAGGCCUUCGGGUCGUAAAGCUCUGUCAAGUGGGAAGAAUCUGCUUUGUGAUAAUACCACAGAGCACUGACGGUACCACUGAAGGAAGCACCGGCUAACUCCGUGCCAGCAGCCGCGGUAAUACGGGGGGUGCUAGCGUUAUUCGGAAUCAUUGGGCGUAAAGGGCGCGUAGGCGGUCUUUUAAGUCAGAUGUGAAAGCCCUCGGCUUAACCGAGGAAGUGCAUUUGAUACUAAGAGACUUGAGUAUGGGAGAGGGAAGCGGAAUUCCUGGUGUAGCGGUGAAAUGCGUAGAUAUCAGGAGGAACACCGGUGGCGAAGGCGGCUUCCUGGACCAAUACUGACGCUGAGGCGCGAAGGCGUGGGGAGCAAACAGGAUUAGAUACCCUAGUAGUCU